rnacentral:lncRNA from 1 species
AUGGACAGUAGGACUAGAGCUAAGAGCUAUUUGAGUGUUUGUGACGCCUUCCUGCCUUCCUCUCUUCCUCUGUGUUCGAGAUGCUUCCCCUUCCCUCCCCGCCCCGCCCCCGUAAGCAGCGGAGGCCCAGCAGGGAGGCAGCCUGCCAUGGGCCUUCCCUCCCCGCCCCGCCCCCCCCCCAGCAGCGGAGGCCCAGCAGGGAAGGAGCCUGCCAUGGGCCCUUGCUCAAGGGACCCCCACCUGGGCGGGGCCUCCUGGCUCCUGGGACUCACCAGCCUCAUCCUCAGUGUCGGCAGCCCUGGGACCCAGAGUUCUGGAAACGCUGUUUCCCUGAAGGGGAUGCAAGGAGCUUCUGUGUCCUUUCAUGUGAUCAGAAAUCCAGACUUGCCUCCAGUAGAUGAGCUGGAGAAGAUAUCAUGGGGCAUUGUAUUCAGAUCGAACUACAUAGUCAUGCUGCAGGUCUUUCCUGGGGCAGAUGUUCCAGAAUGGGUCAACUGGCAGGACAAGUUCCAGAAGAGGGUCCAUGUGUUCAACAUAACCACCCUGAGGAUUGACAACCUGACCCUGGAGGACACUGGGCUGUACCGGGCUCGAGACUCCUACACGAGAGGAAGACAAUACGACCAGGAUUUCCACCUGACUGUGUAUGAGCCUCUGCCCCUUCCCCAGAUCAGGACCACGAAUCUGUCCAUCACCCCAGGCUGGUGCAAUGUCACUGUGCAGUGUGACGCCCCGGGAACCAGGGAGGACCUGACCAUGUCCUGGGAGAGCAAGGGUCUCCCCAGGGAGCUGGAACAACGAGAGGCCACAGGACCAGCCCCCAACCCCUGGACCCUGGCUCUGAGCCUGCCCCUGAACCAGCCCAAUGCCAGCCUCACCUGUGUGCUCAGGAACCAGGUGGACCAGACAACUGCCACCUUGGACCUUGGGGACAUCUGUGGCCACAAUCCACAGGGACAGAGUGAUGCUGACCAUCUACCCGGCAUCCUGGUGACUGUUGUGGUCCUGCUGCUGAUCCUGGGAGCUGGACUGUUUCUCUGGAGGAGAGGGGUGAAGAAGAGCCUGGAGCCUGGGAGAGGUGCAGGGUCCCAGGAGGAGCAUAGGGACCCAAUGAUGGCAUCCACUCUGCAGAGCUGAGCCAGCAGGGGUCUGGACUCAGCAGGGACCAGGGUAGGGGUGCAGCACGUCUAGAAGGGGAGAUGCUU